CUCCGCCCUCGGCUACCCACAGCCGCCAGUUCCCGCCUUCCUUCCGCGAUUUCAAAGCCAAAGCCUAGAGACGGAGCUCGCAGUCCUGCGGCCGAAGUUCCAGGGAUCGUCCCUUGACCACACAGACGCGGCGUGAGGGUCUCUCUAAGUCCGGACUUCCCAUCCUAAGAGAACGAUCCAGAAAAAUGCUCCUUGGUCCCCGGCUCGGAGACACCUGAAAACAAGGGAGGACUCACCAGUCAGCAAGACUCCCGGAUCCAAAUGGUUUUACAAUAAUCGGGAUGGUUUCCUGCAGAGAGCAUCCAUUCCAGUGUCCAUCAAACAGCUCACAAAGGCGUUGCCACCGUAUACCACAGCUGGGCAUCGAUAAAGAGAGAGAAAGAGACAGAGACCAGCAGAGAUCUUCAACUCCAUCAACGGGAGAGUGUGAAAACUGAACUCAGAAUGUGCUUGGUGUAAGUUUAAUGACCUGAGUCAGGUCCCACAUAUAAGCUGGAGACAGUUACACUGGCAUCUGUAAUCCCAGCAUUCGUGACAAAAUGGGAGGCAGAGGCAGGAGACUCUCUAGAAACUCAAGAAUCAACUGAUAUACACAGUUGUAUACACACACAGUGAGACACCACUCUGUAUACCAUGAGACACUGUCUCAGUCAAAAGCAAAGACUGAAACCCAAUGUUGCCUUCUGACAUCACACAUAGAGUGGCACAUAUACACUUAAACACAACACAUAUACCAUACAUGUGUCUGUGUGCAUAUUUAUAAUUAUUGUUAUUUAUUAUUUUCUUGUUUCUUACAUGAAGCAGAAUACAAAGGUUGGGCUCCUGUAACUCAUUAAAAAAAAGGGGGAUAUAUAGAGUCAUGGAUUUAGGAUCUCUCCCCUUACCUCCAAACUCAAAGGAUAGUCCCCAUUGAUGCUUUCUUAAUGUUAAUAAAGUUGAAUAUAAGAUGUCAUGGAUAUUGCCAUGGCAUCUAUAAAAUUGUAUAUAUUUAUAUGCUAAAUAAUAGAUUGGCAUAAUUUCUGUUUCUUGAGAGAAGAAAAAUAUCCCUUUUUAACCUAUAUGUAAAUUCCACAUGAUAUAUAAGAAACAUACAGAAUUAGUCUGAAAGGUUUGUAGACAAAGGUUUGAAUUUGGAAUUUCUGACAUUCCUGUUUAAAAGUCUCUGCCUCCCUUUUGUGACUUUUCACCUAUCAAAGGAAUCUGCCCAUCUGACCAUGUGUUCAUUGAAUGUAUAAAUAAUAACAAUGAUGACAAUAAUAGAGAUGGUAUCAGUCUUGUAUAGAGCAUCUCUGCCUAAGUGAAGAGGACCUCAUUGCAAUUAUGUGACAUGUCUGCCACCUUCCAAUGUGUAUCAAAAGUAGCAACAUCUUUGGAACUCAAUACAUAGAAGGAAGGUAUGCCCCCCUCAAGGACAGUUACAAAGCUAGAGAAAUGGCUAAGCAGUUAAGAGCACUGAAUGUUGUUCCAGAGGACCCAAGUUUGAUUCUCAGCACCCAUAGGGUGGCUUACAACCCACUGUAAUUCCAGUUCCAGACAGUCUGAUGCCCUUCCCCGGCCUCUGGAAGUACUACAUGCAUGUGGCACACAGACAUCCAGCCAGGCAAAACACCAAUACAAACAAAAUAAAAAGUUGCCAGGUAUGGAGGUACACACCUUAAAAACUAUUUUUAAAAUAUAAUAACUGCUAAAUAAAUAAUUCAAAAGAAA